rnacentral:lncRNA from 1 species
CUCCACCAUUGUGACCUACUGAAGAAUCCAAAGCACAAGUGAUGUUAAUGUGGUUUAGCCUGUUAUUGCUGGAGUAGUUAUCUGGGGCAACCGACAGACUUCCAAGGACUCAGUUUCCACUCACUGUGAUUCGAGUUGAGUUUCCGACGUGCCCCGUGGUGCGACAGGCAUCCUGGGAUUUCAUUGAGGAAAUAAAAGGAACCAGGAUGUAUGGUUUAACAAGGAAGAAGAUAAGCAAAAAUAAGAAGUCUUAAUUCCCACAAAAAGCUUUUAACAUCACACUGUAUCAGGAUUAAGAAAAUAGCCAGAAUGCCAGUAGAUGAUCCUGGCCACAUGACCUGAACAAGCCAUUUUAUCUCAUUUGCCUCAACUUCUUCAUCUGCCAGAUGGGACUAAUAUUUGGCAACUUCCCAAUGGGGUUGCUGUGAGGCCUAAAGAAGUUAAUAUGCGAAAAGUGCCUAGAACAUUACCUAGCACAUGGUAAGUGCUCAAUAUAUGAUAGAUACUUUUGUUAUUAUUAUUUUAGAUGGAAGAGAUACUUAGAUCAAUGGCAGAGCUCAUUAAAUUAUACAAAGUCUAAUGUGGAUAAGCCUAUGUUUUAAAAAAGAUUUUCACUCUUAAUUGAAUGUUCCUAAGCAAAG